rnacentral:lncRNA from 10 species
GUCAAGCCAGUGAGAUUCUACUGAAGUUACCAACUUUGGUCAGCACCCGCACUCCCACCUCCUGGUCUGCCUUUCUGUCCUGCCACACUCCAGGGAAGGAGGAUGGGGAAUUCCGGAGGAGGGCAGCAGUGGCUGCAGCAGGGCGCUCUGGUAAGAUGACACAGAGCAGAGCCAGGAAAAGGUGAGAGAGGAAGCCAUGAGAGACUCUCAUCAGGGAUGAACCUGCUGUGUUCAGGGAGCACCACGGAGCCCGUGCGGCUGGAGGAGAGAGGACGAAGGCGAAGGCGGUACCAUAAGGUUUUCGCAUCUGCACAAGGCUGGCCUCCUGCAGGCAACCCUUCAAGGCUGCCCUUUCCUGGGUCAUCGUAUGUUCAGCGUGAGAGAUGCCAUUCCAAAGGUUCAGAGCCGUGUGGCCUGUGGACUUGGGGGUGGGGGACACACCCCCUCCUUCCCUCAACCUCCCUCCCACCGCCUGCUGCCAAGGGCCGCCAAGAGAAAUGUGGGCAAACCACACGGACCACCCCAGGCCUCCCAAGGGCACUUGGGGGUGAUGCCAGCCCCAGGAAGGAGUCCUCAAUAAAGAUCCAAGGUGCUAACAAGAAGAUGUCAAUCCAUUAACUCCACUUGAAGGGAAGAAAAAAAAUGUCAAUUACUGGUAAUGUGAAACAAAAGAGUGGGAAAUCGCAAAUGACAGUCUUUUUAAGACGGCCCUAGGGCCACUUCCAGCUGACCCUGUGCAUUAACCAAGCAGGGAGAUUUUUUUCCUUGGCUGCUCCCUCCUGCGUCCCUAAUAGCAUAAAAUAAAAAGAUUUUAGAUAAGAUUUCAU